rnacentral:rRNA from 1 species
CCAGGGUGUGCCAAAUACACCUGUUAGCAGGGGCCGGGCAAGACCGGUGCCAGCCGCCGCGUUAACACCGGCGGCCCGAGUGGUGAUCGUGAUUAUUGGGUCUAAAGGGUCCGUAGCCGGUUUGGUCAGUCCUCCGGGAAAUCUGACAGCUCAACUGUUAGGCUUUCGGAGGAUACUGCCAGACUUGGAACCGGGAGAGGUAAGAGGUACUACAGGGGUAGGAGUGAAAUCUUGUAAUCCCUGUGAGACCACCUGUGGCGAAGGCGUCUUACCAGAACGGGUUCGACGGUGAGGGACGAAAGCUGGGGGCACGAACCGGAUUAGAUACCCGGGUAGUCCCAGCCGUAAACGAUGCUCGCUAGGUGUCAGGCAUGGCGCGACCGUGUCUGGUGCCGCAGGGAAGCCGUGAAGCGAGCCACCUGGGAAGUACGGCCGCAAGGCUGAAACUUAAAGGAAUUGGCGGGGGAGCACAACAACGGGUGGAGCCUGCGGUUCAAUUGGACUCAACGCCGGACAACUCACCGGGGGCGACAGCAAUAUGUAGGCCAGGCUGAAGACCUUGCCUGAAUCGCUGAGAGGAGGUGCAUGGCCGUCGCCAGUUCGUACUGUGAAGCAU